CAAGCGUCCAUAGGAAAAGCAUUGAUAAUGCUUUCCUAUGUGACCGGCUGAAUGCGCGCACAGCUCUUGCCGCGCGUGCGCAUUCAGCCGCAUGGGAGGAGAAGAGGAGGAUCGGAGGAGGAGAGCUCCCCGCCCAGCGCUGGAAAAAGGUAAGUUUAACCCCUUUUCCCCUUUCCAGAGCUGGGCGGGAGGGGGUCCCUGAGGGUGGGGGCACCCUCAGGGCACUAUAGUGCCAGGAAAACGAG